rnacentral:rRNA from 1 species
UAACACCUGGAAACAGAUGCUAAUACCGGAUAACAACAGAUGAUGCCUAUCAACUGUUUAAAAGAUGGUUCUGCUAUCACUCUUGGAUGGACCUGCGGUGCAUUAGCUAGUUGGUAGGGUAACGGCCUACCAAGGCGAUGAUGCAUAGCCGAGUUGAGAGACUGAUCGGCCACAUUGGGACUGAGACACGGCCCAAACUCCUACGGGAGGCAGCAGUC